rnacentral:rRNA from 1 species
UACGGGGGGAGCAAGCGUUGUUCGGAUUUACUGGGCGUAAAGGGCGCGUAGGCGGUCAGCACAAGUCAGUUGUGAAAUCUCCGGGCUUAACUCGGAAAGGUCAACUGAUACUGUGCGACUAGAGUGCAGAAGGGGCAACUGGAAUUCUCGGUGUAGCGGUGAAAUGCGUAGAUAUCGUAAGGAAGACCAGUGGCGAAGGCGGGGUCUCUGGACAGUUCCUGACGCUGAGGCACGAAGGCCAGGGGAGCAAACGGG